rnacentral:tRNA from 1 species
GUUUCUAUAGUUGAAUAACAACGA